rnacentral:rRNA from 1 species
GCGAUUCCGGCAACGGAUGGGCAUGCGUGACAUUAGCUAGUUGGCGGGGCAACGGCCCACCAAGGCGACGAUGUCUAGGGGUUCUGAGAGGAAGGUCCCCCACACUGGUACUGAAACACGGACCAGACUCCUACGGGAGGCAGCAGUGAGGAAUAUUGGUCAAUGGGCGCGAGCCUGAACCAGCCAAGUCGCGUGAGGGAUGACGGCCCUACGGGUUGUAAACCUCUUUUGUCGGGGAGCAAAUUCCGCCACGUGUGGCGGAGUCGAGAGUACCCGAAGAAAAAGCAUCGGCUAACUCCGUGCCAGCAGCCGCGGUAAUACGGAGGAUGCGAGCGUUAUCCGGAUUUAUUGGGUUUAAAGGGUGCGUAGGCGGACUGUCAAGUCAGCGGUAGAAUACGGGGGCUCAACCUCCGCCCGCCGUUGAAACUGACGGUCUUGAGUGGGCGAGAAGUAUGCGGAAUGCGUGGUGUAGCGGUGAAAUGCAUAGAUAUCACGCAGAACUCCGAUUGCGAAGGCAGCAUACCGGCGCCCAACUGACGCUGAAGCACGAAAGCGUGGGUAUCGAACAGGAUUAGAUACCCUGGUAGUCCACGCAGUAAACGAU